rnacentral:rRNA from 1 species
GAUCAUGGCUCAGGAUGAACGCUAGCUACAGGCUUAACACAUGCAAGUCGAGGGGCAGCGGGAUUGAAGCUUGCUUCAAUUGCCGGCGACCGGCGCACGGGUGAGUAACGCGUAUCCAACCUUCCGUACACUCAGGGAUAGCCUUUCGAAAGAAAGAUUAAUACCUGAUGGUAUCUUAAGCACACAUGUAAUUAAGAUUAAAGAUUUAUCGGUGUACGAUGGGGAUGCGUUCCAUUAGGUGG